UCAUGGUAAAUAUGUCUGCUGAAAAGAAUAAACUGUGUAUCUAACUUAUGAAGUGUAUUUGUGCAUUAAAUUCUAGGGCUUUGCUACGUGUGUUAUCAUAACACAAACAGUUAAGGACAACUGAGCUUGUAGACAGCUUCAUUAGAGAUUUCUUACCCAGAACCAAAGAUUUUACAUCAUAGGCCUGGAUGUGAACCUUGACCUGGACAAUCUUACAGAUAAUAAUAGAAGAGUCACCUGAAAUUGCACAGGCAAAUUCAUCAGAUUCAGAUCUUGUCCUGCCAUCUUCAGGUAGAUGCAGUAGUGGAUAUCCUGGCGAACCUUUAUUGGACUUAGAGCCACCUUGGGACAAUCCCCCAUAACAAAUGUGCAUCUUAGGCUUGGCAAUCUCACUCAGUUUUGUAGAAAAGGAGGAUUUGCACCAUUGGAUUGACAAAUAUUGACAAUUGACAGUUCAGUCACACUAAACUAUAGUGACAUGUUGCUUCAAGUUACCACACUUAUUCUAAGAUUGCUGAAUUAUCAUUACUGUCUAAGGAGACCCUAGAUCUCUCAACCAGAAGAAGAAACUUGGGGAUCAAUCAGUUAUAAGAUUAAAAUCUCUGGAACACUACCCAUCACUGUUGUGUUCAGUAUAUGGAAAAGAUGACCGUGGUAUUGGAACCUUGGAGAUUCAUAACUUGAUUUCACUCCAGUGAAAAGUAACUACUUUGUUCUUU